UUGAAAUAAAAGAAGUUGAUAUUCAUAUCUAUAAGACACUUGAACAUUUGCAGUCUCAAGAAAAAUUUUGCUUGAAAGCAAACGAUAUCUUUGAGAUGGCUCUUCCGAAAAUUUUCUUUCUCCUUAUUCUCGCCAUAAUCUUUAGCAUGGCUAUGGCACGCCCAGGUGGCUAUCUAGGAUAUGGUUUAGGUUAUGGCUAUGGAUUUGGAUAUCCGUAUUAUGGUGGUUAUCGAUAUCCUUUUUAUGGCUACUAUGGAUACGGAUAUCCUUACUUCGGUCAUGGAUAUGGUUACUAUGGCCAUUAUCUUUAAAACCAACAUAAGAACAUUAACAGAAGAAUUUAUUGCUCAUUAAUAUUUAGAAAUACGUUUAAUUUCAAAAUUACUUUUCUAAAUAUUUUACAUCAAAAUUGUGUCACUGUAAUAUGUUGAGUCUAUUAUCAAUAAAAAAUUUUUUAUAGCAA